GGUCACUCAUGUCUGAAUUUCAGCUACCCUAUAAGGCUAUUAGUCAUGCAGAAUUCGAGGCACCCUUUGAAGAAGUGCCAGAAUUAUUUGUUGGCUGCAGGGUUUUCCUAAAAAAGGUUUUGCUUAUGUUGCGAUGCAUCAGAUGUGCAGUAACAUUUGAUAAAUGAUCUAAUAUCCCGCCUUGUG